AGGAAAAGGCAGAAGUUGGAAAGGAAGAAACUCAAGGAAAUCAGUCCCUUUUGCUUUGCGUAGAUAUUGUGAAUGGCUUUAUUCUUGGAUUAUUAGUUUCUUAAAUGCCCUGCUUAGUGCCCGUCAUGGACCACUUGGCUUAUGAUUGUGGGUGGCUGGAAGUCAAAGUUGUAAACCAGGUCACUUGAACUCAGAAUUUAGCCAGUGGCUCUUUCACAUUCGUAAGCAAGAACACUGCUAGCCUCCCCACCAAGCUAGCAUAAGGACUGACCUUUCACGGAUCACAGGAAGGAAGUCUGGCUUCUCCAAAGAGAAGUCACAUUAAUUUUGACAUAAAAGACUUGCCAACAAAACUCUGGGCAGAGGCAGGAAAAUUCAACGCGGGAGAAAGCAGGGUGCAUGCCAAUGGUAGAAAUACCAGGAAGUUGAAGAUCUUCUGACUGGUUGCACGAUGGCUGAAGCAGUUCAAGGGUUCCAUCCCCAAAAUGGCAACGUCAAGAAGAAAAAGGGAGAUUAUCUUUCUUAGCAGCAAGUAGAUUUUCACAGAAGCCUUCUGAAGCCUCAUUGGCCUGAGUUGAUCCAUAUGCCUGUUUCUGAUCCAAGAACUGAACAACUAGGAGCUGCUAUGCGUCUGCUUCUGCUAUUGCUCCAGGAUUGCCACCUUCCCUGUGACCCACUGAGCCACUCAGAUUGACAGCCACAUAUUGCCAUUCUUUCCCGAUGUCUUUGUGAGUACUUCUUCAAAGAGCACACAGACACUUUUUUUGCCAACAGCCUUUGUUUACUGAAGCCUCGGAAACUGGCGAGUGAGAUGUAUUCAUGAUGGGGCCUAGUCUCUAUUGUAUUGUACUGAAAUAUCAUUUCAGCUGCAGAAAUGCCGAAUGCCUGCCAGUGAAACAUAAUUUCUUGAAGUACCACAUUUUAAAGGACAUCAUAUUUCAUCUCUCCAUGCCUGCAGUUUAUCCAAACAAAGGAAAUGGGUUGUUACCAAGGAAAGCAUAACUCAAAAUUCCAAUUAUGACUGUUAAACCAUAUGUGAAAUUACUUUUAAUAAUUAAAAAUAGCUCUUGCCAUUCUGCAGUCCUAGCUUGAUAUUAGGUCUGGUUCCAUUUUAAGGAAAGCUAAUAAUCCCCAGGAAAUCCCUAUGACCUUAAUUGUCUUCACAUCCAAUCUUCAAUGACCUUUAUCUCUUAGAUGGUUAAAAUCUAAAAUAAAUGAUACUAAUAUAUCUGAUGUGCUACUGCAUCACGCUCAUUUAUUUUAUGCAUUUGUUAUGUUUCCAUGACACUUUUUCUCUGAAGAGGUGAAUGUGCUUUGAAAAGAAUUCUUACGAUGUCUAUUUCUUAAAUUCAAAUUUUCAAGCAGAGAGAGGAAAGUGACAAGGAGGAAAUUGUCAUUUGGGGAAGGAGGGAAAAUCAUAGAAGGAAAAGAAAUGGAAAAGGAAUGGAGGUAUAGAAGACAGUCUGUAAUUAUAAAAUCCACUGCAAAAUGCAAAUGUAGCAUCCAACCAUAAAACACAUAAGAGAGCAGCAAAAGCUAUUUCCAGAAGUGACACAUUCAUGUAAAUAUUUGCAUCCUGUACAGUAAUUCCUUUUGUAAAAGGUCCUAAGAUUCUAAGAGAGCCUAUACGUAGCAUCAAGGCCAGGAUACCUCUUGGCUACUUAACAUAGGAGUCAGUUUUUUUUUUUUUUUUUAAAGAUUUUAUUUUUUCCUUUUUCU